rnacentral:rRNA from 1 species
UGGGGAAUCUUGGACAAUGGGGGCAACCCUGAUCCAGCGAUGCCGCGUGAGCGAAGAAGGCCUUAGGGUUGUAAAGCUCUUUCGCCCGCGACGAUGAUGACGGUAGCGGGAGAAGAAGCCCCGGCUAACUCCGUGCCAGCAGCCGCGGUAAUACGUAGGGGGCAAGCGUUGUCCGGAUUUACUGGGUGUAAAGGGCGCGCAGGCGGGAUAAAAAGUCAGUGGUGAAAUCCUACAGCUUAACUGUAGAACUGCCUUUGAUACUUUUAUUCUUGAGUUCGGGAGAGAGAGACGGAAUUCCAGGUGUAGUGGUGAAAUACGUAGAUAUCUGGAAGAACACCAGUUGCGAAGGCGGUCUCUUGGUCCGACACUGACGCUGAGGCGCGAAAGCGUGGGGAGCAAACA